rnacentral:lncRNA from 1 species
CACCUGAGACAUCAAGAGCGAAGUGGCCAUUUUCUUUGAACAGCUCAAAGUGAUGCAACACUGAGAACAUCGUCGGCGACUGGGUCCAAAGCGAAGCCACCGGAAUAUUCCUCCUAUUCCCGAUCCUCAAAGCCCAAACAAGGAAGGUAUCAGCAACUAUGGCGGUCACCGGCUGCUCGAGCCCAUCCAUAAGCUGCUCAACCGGAGCUUCCAGCUUGGUCCACACAGCUUCCACAAACGCGGCAAAGUCUUUCGCGCGACCGUGCUCGGAGGGUAUGACGUUGGGUAUGGUGGCUAAUCGGAUGUUUUCGGGUUUCGGGUUUGAUUCGAUGAACCCGCGCCACUCUUCGGUGACGACGAAGGUGAUGAAGAGUUGAGGGUUUUUUGAAGAUAGUUGCUUGCAGAGGUUCAUCAUGGGGUUGAUGUGCCCUCUUCCUGGAUAGGGUAAAGCCACUAGGUGGCAGACGGUGAUUGGCUCAAUCUUCAUUGUGCCCAUUUCUCUUUUGUAUGAAGUUUGAAGACUGAAGAUUGGAGAUUGAAGAUGUGAAGCCCUUGGCACCCAUCUUAUAUAUAAUAUGUAAGUAGACGGAAGGACAAAAAUACCCUCAAGUGUUACUUUAAAAAAAAAAUUAUAGCAAUGAUCUUUUAAUUUUACUCAAUUAGAAUAAUGAUCAUUCAAUAAAAAUUUUAAUUAAAUAUUUAAUAAUUAAAAAUUUUGAAUUAUAAGAUACUUUAAAGUAACUUAGGAAAUACUCCAAUAAUAAUGAUCGCGGUAAGUGUACACGCACCAGAGACAUCAAGGGGGAAGUGGCCAUUUUCUUUGAACAGCUCAAAGUGAUGCAACAUUGAGAACAUCGUCGGCGACGGGGUCCAAAGCGGAGCCACGGGAAUAUUCCUUCUAUUCCCGACCCUCAGUGCCCAAACAAGGAAGGUAUCAGCAACUAUGGCGGUCACCGGCGGCUCGAGCCCAUCCAGAAGCUGCUCAACCGGAGCUUCCACCUUGGCCCACACAGCUUCCAAAAACGCGGCAAAAUCUUUCGCGCGACCGUGCUCGGAGGGUAUGACGUUGGGUAUGGUGACUAAUCGGAUGUUGUCGGGUUUUGGGUCGGAUUCGAUGAACCCGUGCCACUCUUCGGUGACGACGAAGGUGAUGAGGAGUAGAGGGUUUUUUGAAGAUAGUAGCUUGCAGAG